UACGUAGGGGGCAAGCGUUGUCCGGAAUCAUUGGGCGUAAAGAGCGCGUAGGCGGCUUGGUAAGUCCGCUGUGAAAGUCCAGGGCUCAACCCUGGAAUGGCGGUGGAAACUGUCAAGCUUGAGUCCGGAAGAGGCGAGUGGAAUUCCUGGUGUAGCGGUGAAAUGCGCAGAUAUCAGGAGGAACACCAAUGGCGAAGGCAGCUCGCUGGGACGGUACUGACGCUGAGACGCGAAAGCGUGGGGAGCAAACAGG
rnacentral:rRNA from 1 species